GCCAGCCCGCUCAGAAACUCAAAGGAAUUGACGGGGGCUCGCACAAGCGGUGGAGUAUGUGGUUAAUUCGAUGCAACGCGAAGAACCUUACCUGGUCUUGACAUCCCGGAGACCCUUAGGAAACUAGGGGGUGCUUCCAUCUGGAAGAAUCUGGAGACAGGUGCUGCAUGGCUGUCGUCAGCUCGUGUCGUGAGAUGUUGGGUUAAGUCCCGCAACGAGCGCAACCCUUGCCUUUAGUUGCCAGCAGUUCGGCUGGGCACUCUAAAGGGACUGCCGGUGUUAAACCGGAGGAAGGUGGGGAUGACGUCAAGUCCUCAUGGCCUUUAUGACCAGGGCUACACACGUACUACAAUGGCCGAUACAAAGGGCAGCGACACUGCGAGGUGAAGCCAAUCCCGUAAAAUCGGUCUCAGUCCGGAUUGGAGUCUGCAACUCGACUCCAUGAAGUUGGAAUCGCUAGUAAUCGUGGAUCAGCAUGCCACGGUGAAUACGUUCCCGGGCCUU
rnacentral:rRNA from 1 species